AAAUGGAACUGGGAAAUGUGAGGUGAAAAUAGAUCAUGGGAUGGAAGAUGGACAGUGAGAGUGAUAUGGGAACUCAGAGACGGAUACUGAGAGGAGAUGGGAAUAUGGGAAGAAGUACGAAAACUGAGGGAGCAGGCAAAGAAGCGGCACGGAGGGAAAAUGUGAGAGAACUAACCUUGAGCUCCUGCACCUCUGGGAAGUUUUUCCAGCUUUGGAGAAGAUGAACAAAAGUGCAAUCCAAGAAGGUGUCUUGGCAGAUCCCUCUGGGAAGGAACAUAUGCAAAUAUCCAGUGAAUGGAAGUGGGUAAUAAUAGCCCAUGAAGAAUAGAUAUUUCACUGCUACCUUUUGGCAGAAGCGAGUAAUGAAUGUUCCAUGGAAAGCAUCAGACAAAUAAUAACUGGAACAAGAAGUCAAGCUGUGAAACAUGCAAAUGUUGCAUCAUCCGGCUUCUUGGCAGACCACUCAGCUUCACCGGAUAAAACUGUGAGAUGGCCAGAGAGAGGCUUCUUUGCAGGGCAGUGUGGCACUGAUAUCACAUACAAAGGAUGAUGUUUGAGAGCCAUAUCCUGCCCUAGCCAACAUAGCUAUGGAGAGAAGCGAAACAAGCCGGCGUGUCCUGCCACAACAAUCUGACUACUCAGAACAGGAUUUCAAAGGAUGUAGUAGGGCACUGCAGUUCAGGGAACAUUUUGCUGCUAUUCCUAGUGAAUGAAAUUCACACCCUUUGCUGAGGGCCAGCAGAGUGCCCAUGCAUCACGUAAAUCCUGUUUUGAAGUCCAGAUCCUCAGCUGGUAUAAAUUGGCGUAGCUCCAUUGACUGCAAUGUGGUGCACAGACAUUACGUUUGCGUUGUGAAAAGAAGUGAAUUUCAUCCAUCAUGGGCAAAGUCAUCAACAACCUGUUGUCAGCUUACACUGUCUACUGCUUGGGAACUACACACAUUUCUCUUAGCAGAUAAGAGGCUCUUUACACCCUCUUACUGUCCUUAUACACUAGCACAGCAAACGGCAGAACUUAGCUACUAUACAGCUGAAGAAACAUUACUUUUUUUUACAAUUAUAUUUAGAAAUUUCCUUGAACCACCGUGGAAAGCAACAGCUUCUAUGGAUAAACAGCUCAUAUCUUAAUAGAUUCCCUCCUGACAGUUGGACAAUACUGAGAAUUUUAUGCAAGUCUGUUGAGAAGAUUCCACAUAAAAAAAGGAUCCCAUGGACUGCAGUAGUAGCUGGGACCCCUUCUCUUCCCUUAAGUGCUGAGAGAGAUUAGGCUGGAGGAUAAUGCACUGGCUGUUCCCCUACACACUUCAAAACUUUCUCUUUUCAUACCACCCUUACAGUAUGUCUACACUACCCGCCAGAUCGGUGGGUAGCAAUUGAUUUAUUGGGGAUCGACAUAUCCCGUCUCAUCUAGAUGCGAUAUAUCGAUCCCCAAACGCACUCCCGUUGACUCCGGAACUCCACCAGGGCGAG